UUGACCUUGAACUCACAGAGAUC
rnacentral:piRNA from 1 species